GACGGACGCUGGCGGCGUGCUUAACACAUGCAAGUCGAACGGAAAGGCCCUGCUUUUGUGGGGUGCUCGAGUGGCGAACGGGUGAGUAACACGUGAGUAACCUGCCCUUGACUUUGGGAUAACUUCAGGAAACUGGGGCUAAUACCGGAUAGGAGCUCCUGCUGCAUGGAGGGGCUUGGAAAGUGUCGGCGGUUGGGGAUAGACUCGCGGCUUAUCAGUUUGCUGGUGGGGUAGUGGCUUACCAAGGCUUUGACGGGUGGCCGGCCUGAGAGGGUGGCCGGCCACAGUGGGGCUGAGAUACGGCCCAGACGCCUACGGGAGGCAGCAGAGGGGAAUAUUGCACAAUGGGCGGAAGCCUGAUGCAGCAACGCCGCGUGCGGGAUGCCGGCGUUCGGGUUGUAAACCGCUUUCGCCUGUGACGAAGCGUGAGUGACGGUAAUGGGUAAAGAAGCACCGGCUAACUACGUGCCAGCCGCCGCCGUAA
rnacentral:rRNA from 1 species